UCUCCCUUUCCCUCUCUUUAUUAUUUAACCAGCUACCUAUCCAUCCAUCCAUCCUUCGUAAAUAAAAUCCUAACCAUUCAUCUACCCUCUUCCUUUAGUCCCACAUCUAGAAACCAUGAAAAUCUCCUCCCUCCUAACACCUAUAAAAAGGCCUCCAUACCUCCACCUUAGGAAUCAUUGAAUAAAUCUAAAGAAUCUGGGGAUCC
rnacentral:lncRNA from 1 species